rnacentral:misc_RNA from 1 species
AAUUUUCUUUUUGUUAAAUUCCUCGCAAAACUGUCGAAAAAGGUGUGUGAAAUCGAAGAAUUAUUUACUGCGCAUCGACUACAGAAUUUUUUUAUUUUUUAUUUUUCAUAAAAACCUAUUCUUGAAACAUUUUGCGACAGCUACAACGGCAAUGUGUUUUAAGUGACUAGCAGACGGUUUUAUUUAUUUUGUAAUCACAGGGAAAACUUUGAUAAAGAGCAAUGUUAGAUCGAUGCUUGAGACUGAUCAUCCAAAAGCAGCGGUAUUACUCCACAGCUGUUCCAAGAAUCACCACACAUUAUACCAUAGUUUCCCGUGAAACAGAUCCAAGAUGGCAAGGUAUUUCUAUGGAGAGGGUGAGUGAUGAAACAGAUGUUGUUAUUGUGGGUGGAGGUCCUGCUGGUAUGACAGCAGCCAUCAGGUUAAAACAGUUAGUAAAUGAAAAGGGAAAGGAUGUUAGAGUGUGUUUAGUUGAAAAAGCUUCUGAAAUUGGUGGACAUAUUUUAUCAGGAGCAUGUAUCGAAACUCAAGCACUGGACACUUUGAUUCCAGAUUGGAAAGAAAGAGGGGCACCUAUAAAAACAGCUGUUAAAUCUGAUAAAUUUGCCUACUUAACAGAGAAGAAAAGGAUCCCGAUUCCCAUAUUUAAAGGUUUACCUAUGUAUAAUCAUGGUAACUACAUUGUGAGAUUAGGAAAUGUAGUUCGAUGGCUUGGUCAACAGGCUGAAGAAUUAGGAGUUGAGAUUUAUCCUGGAUAUGCAGCUAGUGAGGUCUUAUUCCAUGAAGAUGGGAGUGUCAAAGGUAUUGCAACAAAUGACGUUGGUAUUUCAAAAGAUGGGUCUCCAAAGGAAUCAUUUGAAAGAGGAAUGGAGCUUCAUGCUAAGUGUACUAUAUUUGCUGAAGGAUGUCAUGGUCAUUUAAGCAAACAAUUGUAUAAGAAAUUUAAUUUAAGAGCCAACUGUGAACCACAAACAUAUGCCAUUGGUUUGAAAGAAAUAUGGGAAGUUGAACCAUCUAAACAUAAGCCUGGAACAGUUGAGCACACUGUUGGAUGGCCAUUGAACUACAAAACAUAUGGAGGAUCAUUUUUAUAUCAUCUUGAUGAAGGUGCUCCUCUUGUUACUGUUGGUUUUGUGAUUGGUUUAGAUUACAAUAAUUCAUACAUCAGCCCUUUUCAAGAAUUUCAGAGGUUUAAAUUACACCCUUCAGUUAGACCUCUGUUUGAAGGAGGAACUCGUAUUGCAUAUGGAGCAAGAGCUCUAAAUGAAGGAGGAUUCCAGAGCAUUCCUAAACUUACAUUUCCGGGUGGAUGUCUAAUUGGCUGCAGUCCUGGUUUUAUGAAUGUGCCUAAAAUAAAAGGGACACAUAAUGCUAUGAAGAGUGCCAUAAUAGCUGCAGAAACUGUUUAUGACCUCAUCACUUCAGAUAACGUAGAAUCAGCAACAACUGCUCCUGAACCUGUAGAAUAUGAAAGGAAACUUAAGGAGAGUGAUGUUUGGAAAGAACUGAAAUCUGUUCGGAAUAUUCGACCCUCUUUUCAUUCUCCUCUGGGUGUUUAUGGGACAAUGCUGUAUACUGGCAUAUUCUAUUAUUUAGGAAGAGGGAAAGAACCUUGGACAUUAUCACAUCACGUCACACAGUAAAAGGAGUGUUGCAAGAAACAAUUCAUCAAUAUACAGAAUAUUUAAAAUUUGGUUUCAUACUUGCUAUCCACGAUGGUGAAUGAUCAUCUUUUUGUCUUUUAAUGGUGAAUGGUCUUAGAAUGUUUGACGAAUGAAUUAGUGAAAUGAAGCUGACUUAAGACACAUUUGAAGGCAAAACAUAAUAAUGCUCAUGUAAAUUACUUUUAAAAAAAGAAUUUUAUAAAAGAGUAACAUUAAAGUUUCUUUUCAUUACUCACACUGCAGUUGUCAAUCAUCCUUAGGCUAGAUAUGAAAUUUCCGUACUCAUAAUCAAUCUAUAUAUAAAUCAUACUGUAGAGAUAAUUUAAUCAAACCAUCAAUAUCAAUAUUUCUUAAAACAAUUAUGGAAAAAGAUGACAAAGACAUGAAAGCUUUGCCACUCAGUAACAAUACUGUUAGUGGAAUAGAUGAAAUACAACUAGUUGAAAAGCUGGAAACAUGAAAAUUCUCAAUGUAAAUGGAUCAACUCUGAGAGACAGUGAAGCAUUACUGAUAACUACAUAAAAUGUAUUGCUAGGGAUUAUUUUUCUGAAGAAAUGUUAUUCUGUAAAUCAUUAGAGGGCACCUCUACCUCCAAAGAUAUAUAUAAUAAAUUGCUUAGAUAUCAAUUAUAUACCAAUGAAAAAUGUAACAUGUGCUGCAGAUGAUCCUUCUAGUAGUAUGACAAGCAAGAAGAAUGGCUGCUUAAAACUGACGAAAGAUGCGAAUCCAGAAAUGAUUCUUGUGCAAUGCAUUAUCACAGUGAGAGCUUGGUAGUUACAAAAAUUUUUCCUGUUCUUAAUGAAGUUCUAAAAUCAUACUAAAAUCAGUUAUAAAGUAUAUCAGUACUAUUAAAGCUAGUGCAAGAUGGCAGUAUCUCUUCAGGCUGUCUAACAUUUAGAGACCAUGUGAGACUUUUAGUUCAGAAUUCUCUCUUGAAAAGGAACUUCUUGAAGAGAUUUAUGGAAUUACCUGAAAUGAAGCAUUUUUUAAUAAUCAAUGGUGCUGACUAUGCUAAACUAAAGCCUGCAUCCGAAUGUAAACCUAUAGUAUAUCCAAAACCUGAUGGUGUUAUAACUUUCGAUUUAUUGUCAUCUGUAGCACUGACAGGAACAAACCAUGUAGAUCAGCCA